UACGUAGGUGGCAAGCGUUGUCCGGAAUUAUUGGGCGUAAAGCGCGCGCAGGCGGUCCUUUAAGUCUGAUGUGAAAGCCCACGGCUCAACCGUGGAGGGUCAUUGGAAACUGGGGGACUUGAGUACAGAAGAGGAGAGUGGAAUUCCACGUGUAGCGGUGAAAUGCGUAGAGAUGUGGAGGAACACCAGUGGCGAAGGCGACUCUUUGGUCUGUAACUGACGCUGAGGCGCGAAAGCGUGGGGAGCAAACAGG
rnacentral:rRNA from 1 species